rnacentral:rRNA from 1 species
UAGGGAAUCUUCGGCAAUGGGGGCAACCCUGACCGAGCAACGCCGCGUGAGUGAAGAAGGUUUUCGGAUCGUAAAGCUCUGUUGUAAGAGAAGAACGUGUGUGAGAGUGGAAAGUUCACACAGUGACGGUAACUUACCAGAAAGGGACGGCUAACUACGUGCCAGCAGCCGUGGUAAUACGUAGGUCCCGAGCGUUGUCCGGAUUUAUUGGGCGUAAAGCGAGCGCAGGCGGUUUAAUAAGUCUGAAGUUAAAGGCAGUGGCUUAACCAUUGUUCGCUUUGGAAACUGUUAAACUUGAGUGCAGAAGGGGGGAGUGGAAUUCCAUGUGUAGCGGUGAAAUGCGUAGAUAUAUGGAGGAACACCGGUGGCGAAAGCGGCUCUCUGGUCUGUAACUGACGCUGAGGCUCGAAAGCGUGGGGAGCAAACAGG